GAUGCUACGUCCAUCUUUUGCAUACAGUCUAUCAUCUAAACAGAGAGGCAAGUGACCUGCAACAGUCAUCAGUGUUUCAGGAGCUUUUUAAAGGCGACGUAUUACACAUAAGAGCCAGAUAAAAUGAGCUGUUAUGAAGAGUGUUUAAGAGAAUUUCUGCUCUGCACUGGUCUAAUUGCAGCUUUGACCAAAGUCAACAAUCAUUGUCUUACCACUUUGUUCAAUCAUCAUCAUUACAUUCAUGAACCAGGCUUAUAGCAGCUGGUAUUCUUGUUCAUCUAAAUACAACAAAACCCCCCAGAGAGAUAACAUAAACUGAUUAAUAUUACUAUCAAUUUCCCUUCAAGUCCAUCAUACAUAAUCAAAGCAAAUGUAACCCAUAUCAACUACUCCCUGUCACAUGACCCACGUCAGCUGAUUUGAGGUCCCUCUUCUGAUUGGCUCCUCCCACGUCGCGGCAACUCUGAAAACCGGCUGUGGAGGGAUACUUCCGGGUUCGACUCCUGCUGUGGCUGUGAGCUUAUGGCAUUUAGAACGGUGUUGGAAAACAAAGCGUUUUCUCCCCUCAAUUCAUCUUUAAACUUUAAACUCAGCGGUCAGGUUUUUUUUCCCUCUUUGAAUUGAUCUUCUUCAUAUUGAAGUGGCGAGCCGGUAGGACCAUUCUUUCUUUUCCCCCCACUUAGCCGUCUUUGGAUUACGGACAUAUUUCCCCCUUGUAUGAAGCUGGACCCUAAGGAGGAAUACCUUAAAAGUGAACUUUAAAAAGAAAAGGACCAAAAAAAGGACUCUUAGCAAAAGGACUCUUGCACAGAAAAAUCACAGCACUGAUUUAUUAUUUAAUUGUGGACAUUUACGUUGUGUGUUGUGUUAAUUAUUUUGUUCCAUUUCCCCUUUCCCCUAUUUAUUCAAUACAUUUUUGGUACAAGA